UACAGAGGUCCCAAGCGUUGUUCGGAUUCACUGGGCGUAAAGGGUGCGCAGGUGGUGAGGCAAGUUCGAUGUGAAAUCUCCAGGCUCAACCUGGAAAUGGCAUUGAAAACUGCCUUGCUAGAGGGUUGGAGGGGGAACUGGAAUUCUCGGUGGAGCAGUGAAAUGCGUAGAUAUCGAGAGGAACACCAGUGGCGAAGGCGAGUUCCUGGACAAUACCUGACACUGAGGCACGAAAGCCGGGGGAGCAAACAGG
rnacentral:rRNA from 1 species